rnacentral:misc_RNA from 1 species
GUGAAGAACGUAGCGAAAUGCGAUAAGUAAUGUGAAUUGCAGAAUUCAGUGAAUCAUCGAGUCUUUGAACGCACAUUGCGCCCCCUGGUAUUCCGGGGGGCAUGCCUGUCCGAGCGUCAUUGCUGCCCUCAAGCACGGCUUGUGUGUUGGGCCCCCGUCCCCGGUUUCCCCCGGGGACGGGCCCGAAAGGCAGCGGCGGCACCGCGUCCGGUCCUCGAGCGUAUGGGGCUUUGUCACCCGCUCUGUAGGCCCGGCCGGCGCCAGCCGACACCCAACUUUAUUUCUAAGGUUGACCUCGGAUCAGGUAGGGAUACCCGCUGAACUUAAGCAUAUCAAUAAGCGGAGGA